rnacentral:lncRNA from 1 species
CUCUCAGCAGGCUGACGUCAGCCCCUCCCCAGCAGCCAGAACAAGGCUCGGGAUUGUUUCGGCCCGGGAGAGCUCCCCGAGGAUUAAAGGCUUGGUGAAAUGCAGAGCACGGCACGGCGAGAGCAGCACCAGGCCUCCAUCCAUCAUCCAUCCAUCCUGCCAUCCAUCCAUCAUCCAUCCAUUAUCCAUCCAUCCAUCAUCUAUCCAUCCAUCAUCCAUCCAUCCAUCCAUCCAUCAUCCAUCCAUCCAUCCAUCAUCCAUCCACCCAUCCAUCCAUCCAUCCAUCCAUCCCUGCUUUGCCCACGGAAGGUGAUGGGGAGGACUCCAAAACCCAGCACAGCCUGGGCUCAAUCCAUGCUCCAAACCCAGCACAGCUCGGGCUCAAUCCAGGCUCCAAACUGGCACAGCCUGGGCAUGAUUUGGGCUCCAAACCCGGCACAGCCCGAGAUCCAUCCAUGCUCCAAACCUGGCACAGCCCAGGCUCAAUCCAUGCUCCAAACCCGGCACAGCCCAGGCUCGAUCGGUGCUCCAAACCCGGCACAGCCCGAGAUCCAUCCAUGCUCCAAACCCAGCACAGCCCAGGCUCGAUCCGUGCUCCAAACCUAGCACAGCCCAGGCUCAGUCCAGGCUCCAAAUCCGGCACAGCCCAGGCUCGAUCCAUGCUCCAAAUCCGGCACAGCCUGGGCAUGAUUUGGGCUCCAAACCCGGCACAACCCAGGCUUGGUCCGAGCUCCAAACCUGGCACAGCCCAGGCUCAAUCCGUGCUCCAAACCCGGCACAGCCUGAGAUCCAUCCAGGCUCCAAACCCGGCACAGCCCAGGCUCGAUCCAUGCCAGAGCCGCGCUGGGGACAGAGCUGCACCAUCUGCUUCCAGUAACAUUUAUCCAUUGGUGAGCUCUUGAAUUCCAUUUCCUUUGGUUCCCCCUCAACUGGGGUGUCCCAGAGCCCCCAUUCACGGCACAGCCAGGGUGAAACCUCCACUGUCC